rnacentral:lncRNA from 1 species
CCUUCCCCCUCCUUUUCUUUUAUUUUCGAGAGAAUUUCUUCUUGGCUUAUUGGUUUAAUUUGAUUUUUAAAAUUUUGGGUUGCUUUUGUGUAUGUGUGCUUUUUUUUUCUUUCCUCAUUUUAUUUGCAUCCAGAGCAUGGCGGGCUGCGGGCUGUCGGAAGACACCCUCUUCUCUUCCUUCUUUUACAACUACGGCUCCUCCUGGGAAACCCCUUCCAACCAGUCUCCAGGUUCUGUCGCGUUCCUCCCGUGCCCAAUCUGCCAUCGACACCUUCCCCCACCACCUCCCAGCCCAGCGGGAACCCGAGAAAGAG